rnacentral:misc_RNA from 1 species
ACUUUAGAUUAAUUAAUCACAAAAUGUCUGUCUUAUUUUGCCUCGAAAAAACUUUGGUUCGGAGAGUUAUUGUGAUACUUACAGUUGCUUACAGCGUACGACCACAAGAAAAAGAUGGAGACAUGAGUUUAUGGAUAAACAGAUGUACACUUAAAGUCAAUUGGACAAUUCAAACCAAUCCAGAUGGAUGUUUUCCGAGUUAAUACAGUGUUCGACUUUUAAAGAACAAUCAAGAAAUCACAACGAGUGGCACCACGCUUACCAGUUAUUCGUUUGAAGGAACUGACUCAGAGUCGACAUACCGGGUCAUAGUUUCGCCAAUUCUGGAAUGUAACAACGGUUCUAGACCCCGUGGAAAUAGCUUGGACCACAGUAUUUCAGCUAUCCCGAGAAGUCAACAAACCUUUAUAACCAAAUAUAUUUCCGACGACUUUACUUUACAAUGUCCACUAAAUGGGUCUUACACACCAUUCAGUGUGGAGUGGGAGCACAAAAUAGGGAUCGAUUCAACAAUAGUUAGAAAAUUUACUACCCCGGAAAUCACUCUUACAGACGUAUCGUACAAGGACUCGGGAAAAUAUGUCUGCACUGUUGGAUUUUAUUCCUGUGGAGGGUCAGGACUUCAAAGGAAGCUUACAAGUUCAGACCACCAUACAUACCGAUGCCUCCACAAACAGUUGUUGCUGAUCCUGCCGACAAUUUGACGUUAUCCUUGAGCUUGAUAUCCUUUCCAGCUCCAUUUAGUUUAGUUUUGGUUAGAAACCAAAAUAAUGAAAUAAUUCAUCGCAGUAAUGUUUCCUUUGCUCCAACCGAAGUAACACUUUCUGCUUUCGGAAGGGUAGUAAAACUUUAUGGUUACAGUUGUCGAUUAAAUAUGCCAAAUAUUAGAAGAGAGUGGUUCGGUACCAACAGCAUCAUAGUGUUCAACCGCCUGGGGAAUUACUCACUUUCUUUCACUGUGGAAGAGUUUUCGGACAGGGAAAAUUUCAUUGUAAGGUUUCUUAAGGAUAACCUGCUUCUUGUGGCUAGUGUCGGUGGGUCAAUCCUUGCAGUGUCCAUCGCUGUGAUAGUAACAGUCAUUUGUCUGGAUAUCAGGAAGAAACGUAAACAAAAAUGCAUGUCUUUGGACAACAACCGUUUGCCAGAAAGUGCCGUUGCAGACAAUUGCAACCAACAUAUCUACGCUCGUCCUUUCUCCUUUGGAAAUAAUAGACUAAAUCAAGAUGCACGAGAACUUCAGAGUUUGACAGACCACGAGAAACAAAUUGAGUUGGAAGGACGUCAAUGUGCCAGCAUGUACAGUUGUGCCGGCUUUUCUUUGAAUGAGUUCCAAGAUGAUUCGAUCGUAUACGACAACCAGUUUGCACCGGGAUACACUUAGACGACUGUUUAUUGUUCUAAAUGACAACCAAUGUUCACUUGUAUCUGAUAUCCACGACUAAGAUUUAGUUCUGCAAUUCAAUUCAUUAUUAAUCAAAUUGAAAAUUAUGUAAACACACACAUUCUCAAUAUUUUAUGUUUACAGCACCUAGGUAUUUUGUUCUGUUCUCUAUAUUUCUUUGCAAUAUUAAUUGUUAUUGAUACAGAAAGAGACAAAACCAAAUGUUACGAAAUCACAUAAACAUUAACAACCAGUCUGCUUAUUAACAAAGUUUAACAUAUUUCUUAAAUUUACUGAUGAUUUGAAAUAGGUGCAUAGUUUAGCUGCUUAAAUAUCAAUUCUAUUUUAAAUGCUCUAAUAAACCUUUUUGCUAUCGCU